CGGAUCACGGAUAAGGGUAUGGGUACUUAUAUACCAAUAAGACACGCGUACAGGUGCUAACUUUGGCAUCCAAACGGGUAUGGGCUCGGACACAGGGAAUUUUUCAAAUCGCGGGUAUGGGGAUGGGUACUAUAGUACCGUGCCUAAACCAUGCCCAUUGCCAUCCCUAUUGGCAUGUAGAGAUUGUUGGGGGAAAUCAAAGCCCCCAAGAUCUUUUGCUUUGAUUCCCCUCCUAUGUGAUUUAAUUUUGGUUGGAGUGAAUUAGGGUUCUUGAGAGUAGUUAUGUGGUUUGAAGAAUCUAGUGGAAAUUAGGUGAUUUAAAGGUGAGAAAUAGAGAGAGGGUGACGAGAGGGUUCCAUUGGUGGUGGUAGGUGGCAUUUCUGGGUUGCUCUGUAUCCUCCGGCGCGGUGGAGCGAUUUUCAUGGAAUAAAAACUUAAGAGAAAGGGAGAAGAUGUCUGGUAGGAUGAGAAGUGAAAUGAGGUGAAUCUGAAAACCAUGUUCCACACUUUGCCCUCACACGCCCAUGGACCUCCAAUCAUUAAGCCCAAAGGGACUUACUGACAACACCCCAUUUUUGCUAACACACGCCCUCUCAUGCUGAACUCUAACAAGACCAUUGGCUUGGGCUUCAUCAGACUGGGCUCAACGCCCCAUUGCUGGCCAAACUCUCUUUUUCAGCUUCGCAUACCCUAUACAGAGUGUUAAUUAUUUAAUUUUUGUGUGAUUUUUUUUCUUUUUC
rnacentral:lncRNA from 1 species